CUUAACUUGUAGUCCGGCUUCACGUGUGAGGACCCAGCUAACUGUAUUGUCUCUGGGAGCUCUCUUCAUUUUUGCAGACAUUUAUUCAGAGUAGAUGUGUGUAUAUUACAUUUUUUUGCUUUAAGUGAAUGGAAUUGCUUGAAGCAGCAGAAGCUUGUCAGGAGGAAUUCUCUGAAUGAAUAGGCCAGGAAAGUAAAGCUAAGGUUCUUCCUGUGUGCUGAAAUUGUUUUACGAGUAGUAAAUAAAAGCACCUUAGGUAAUAUACACUAAUUAGAGUGGAAGGAAAGGUAUUACUUUUCUGUUACAGCAAGUAGUAAGGGUUUCUGCUUCUGAAGUGAUGAAAUACUCUUUUCUUACCUACGUCCUGUUAAAGAAUUGCCAAAGAAUCUGAGCAACUUCUCUGAUUUUUAAAAGGGAGUAGUGAUUUGAAUAUAUGUUUACUUCAUUCCUAAAUAUUGAAAAAUGUAGAAUAUUGUCUUAGUCUUUUUACAUAAUCUAUAAUCUGAUUUUUCCCAUAAGAUAUGAAAAUAUGAAACACGUUCUGGGAUUAAAAAAUCUAUAUAUGUUAAUUUGUCUUGCAGCAGAAUACCCCCCGAUUUUCAUCGGAUAAGAGCCAUUAUGUAAAACAGUACAAAAACGUGUAGAGAUCAAUAUGAACAACAACUUAUUUAUAAUGACAAAGUACAGAGAGUACCAGGAGUGUUAGAUAAAGGUGUCUGUAUCGACCUUUUUGUUCUGAAAUAUUUGUCACUUUUGGUUCAACAAUGAUGCAACCGUUUUGGUUCCGAAAAAUGAUUGACAAAGACCAGAUAGAAAAGACAGAAGUGAAAAAGGAACACUGAGGCUAGCUGGCGAUUAAAUAGCUUUCUACAGGAUUGCUAGUACAAACUAGUUUUCAGAAGGCAAGUUCCUGUUCUACUUUAACAUAAUAAAGAUGAUUAUCAAUGAGAUUUAUAAAUCCCUCUGUUAUUUCAAUACAUGUGCGAAAUAAUGCUGCCUCUAAGCCACACAAUUUUGCUAGCAAAAAAUCCCAAUUAGGUACAAUCACAUUUAGCAAACAGAAGAUGCACAAGCAAGUGUUCUUAAUGAAAAAGGGAAAAAAUAAUUAUGAUAGGGAACACGUCUCUUUCAGAGUUCUGUUCAAGCUUCCAAACUGUUUGUUUAUACCAUUUCAGUGAUCAAUUCCUUUUUAAGGCUUUUUGUUGUUGUUGUGUCCCAUUUCAGUGUCAUAUUGCAUUACCUCUUUCCAUAAGGGUAUGGUGUGCAGAUAUUUUCCAGGAAAGAAGGGAGAUUGGAAAACAUCAGAUCUUACCAAGAUGACUGUCUGUGGUGAGCAGCAGAGCAUGCAUAUAAAAGGACCAGCUGCUGAUCAUCACAGUGUCCACAUUUUGUGGUUCUGAAGUGGAAGGUCUGUCCAAGACCUUGAUUAAUUUCUUCAGAGAAGUGUGUUCUUUUGUGGCGGGACCUACUUAAUUUAUUUUAUGGCUUAAUUUGGUCGAUACACCCACUUGUCACGCACAGAAAAUUUUCCUAAUCUCAGUCAUCUGCACUGAAAUUUCCUAUUUUAUGUCCUGUUCUCUACUUGUUCAUGGAUGACUGGGGCCACAUGCUCCAACUCCUUUCCAUUCUUCCUCUUGCCAGCAAAACAGGCUCUUGGUUUGCAAUGAGCUGUGUAAUGCUGUCUGGUGAGAGAUCCAGAGGGACCCGUUGGAUAUUGCUCAGAGCAUCUAUGACUGUGCUACUGCGAGGGGAAACAGCUACCAAUUCAACAAGCAAAAUUUGGGAUAAUUGCAGC